rnacentral:tRNA from 1 species
GGGGCUGUAGUGUAGCCUGGUCCUGAGCAGGUUUGCUCGCGAGGCAACUAUCACUAAUGGUUUGGGACCAUUGAACCCCGGUUCGAAUCCGGGCAGCCCCA